rnacentral:rRNA from 1 species
AUUGAACGCUGGCGGCAGGCCUAACACAUGCAAGUCUAACGAGUGGCGGACGGGUGAGUAAUGUCUGGGAAUCUGCCUGAUGGAGGGGGAUACUUACUGGACACGGUAGCUAAUACCGCAUACCAUCGGAUGUGCCCAUAUGGGAUUAGCUAGUAGGUGGGGUAAAGGCUCACCUAGGCGACGAUCCCUAGCUGGUCUGAGAGGAUGACCAGCAACACUGGAACUGAGACACGGUCCAGACUCCUACGGGAGGCAGCGGUGGGGAAUAUUGAACAAUGGGCGCAAGCCUGAUGCAGCCAUGCCGCGUGUAUGAAGAAGGCCUUCGGGUUGUAAAGUACUUUCAGCAGGGAGGCGUUACCCGCAGAAGAAGCGACGGCUAACUCCGUGCCAGCAGCCGCGGUAAUUC